UACGGGGGGGGCAAGCGUUGUUCGGAAUUACUGGGAGUAAAGGGCUCGUAGGUGGCCAACUAAGUCAGACGUGAAAUCCCUCAGCUUAACUGGGGAACUGCGUCUGAUACUGGAUGGCUUGAGUUUGGGAGAGGGACGCGGAAUUCCAGGUGUAGCGGUGAAAUGCGUAGAUAUCUGGAGGAACACCGGUGGCGAAGGCGGCGUCCUGGACCAACACUGACACUGAUGAGCGAAAGCCAGGGGAGCAAACGGG
rnacentral:rRNA from 1 species